rnacentral:rRNA from 1 species
GACGAACCGUACAAACGUUAUUCGGAAUCACUGGGCUUAAAGGGCGCGUAGGCGGCGCGGAAAGUAGGGGGUGAAAUCCCUCGGCUCAACCGAGGAAUUGCGGCCUAAACUACCGUGCUCGAGGGAGAUAGAGGUGAGCGGAACUUAGGGUGGAGCGGUGAAAUGCGUUGAUAUUCUAAGGAACACCGGUGGCGAAAGCGGCUCACUGGAUCUCUUCUGACGCUGAGGCACGAAAGCUAGGGUAGCGAACGGG